rnacentral:lncRNA from 1 species
GGAUAUGGCCUGGACAGAGGUGGGCAGGGCUGUGAAAAGGUGGUGACCUAUUGGGAUAUUAAAUGUCUCAGUGAUGCCCCCAUGGAGCUGUGGGCCUGGAUCUAGAGUUGGGGCAGCAACUCCAGGAGGGGAGGCACCCCUAGGGAGCUCCUCGACUUUAUUUUCCCAUAGCCUGGGUGCUGUUAUUAAAACAAACUGGAUUUCAUUUCUCCUCCCAUCAUAUCCCUUGAUGUCAACCUGACGUCCUCAAGAUGAAAUCCUACUCCUCCCACAGCCUUUCUCUCCACUUGCCCUGCUGCUCAGCCUGGCUUCUGUCCUCUCAUUCCCAGACUGCUACCACUGACCCCACCUCAGGGUCUUAGCCCAUGCUGUGCCUUCUCCCCUCCAACUGCAUUCUCAGGUCUCCCCUCAAAAGCCCCAUCCCCAAGGAGGCCUCCCACCCAUCCAGCCGGAAUCAAGCCCCAGCCCUACUCUUCCUCCUCUGCCAGGCAUGUGACCCGGGGCUAGUCCCUUCUGCCCUCUGAGUUUCAGUCCCUGGCCUGGCAUCCUGUCCAGUUUUGCUGGCGCAGGGCCAGGUGGGCCUCCUACGUAUUAGGUUGUGAAAGCCCCUAGAAGUCCCAGGCAAAGGCAUGGGCGUGGGGGGAGGUGGCAUCAGUAUAGUAGAUACAGCAGAGUCCCCAGAGCACGGCAUGGGAAGCACCAACCGUCACAGGGCAGAGGCAGCAAGAGAUUUGCAUCUGAGAAACUAAGCCCUGGUCAUCAUGGGGAAGUGGAAGGGUAUGUGCUCAUGCUGGGGCCCUCACUUUGGGGCUUAAGGAUCUGGGAAGCUGGCUAGACUCUCAGGGCUGGUCUUUGUCACCCUUAAGUCCCCCAAAGAAGGGUUGUCCCUUUCAGGCCCUCUACUAUACAGCCAUAACUCCUUAGAUGCCCCCCAGGGCAGAGCCAGCUCUUAUCCCUCACACUGGAUCUUUUACUUGGCCCAGCUCCCUCUCCC